rnacentral:rRNA from 1 species
AAAUUGAAGAGUUUGAUCAUGGCUCAGAUUGAACGCUGGCGGCAGGCCUAACACAUGCAAGUCGAACGGUAACAGGAAACAGCUUGCUGUUUCGCUGACGAGUGGCGGACGGGUGAGUAAUGUCUGGGAAACUGCCUGAUGGAGGGGGAUAACUACUGGAAACGGUAGCUAAUACCGCAUAACGUCGCAAGACCAAAGAGGGGGACCCUCGGGCCUCUUGCCAUCGGAUGUGCCCAGAUGGGAUUAGCUUGUUGGUGGGGUAACGGCUCACCAAGGCGACGAUCCCUAGCUGGUCUGAGAGGAUGACCAGCCACACUGGAACUGAGACACGGUCCAGACUCCUACGGGAGGCAGCAGUGGGGAAUAUUGCACAAUGGGCGCAAGCCUGAUGCAGCCAUGCCGCGUGUAUGAAGAAGGCCUUCGGGUUGUAAAGUACUUUCAGCGGGGAGGAAGGGAGUAAAGUUAAUACCUUUGCUCAUUGACGUUACCCGCAGAAGAAGCACCGGCUAACUCCGUGCCAGCAGCCGCGGUAAUACGGAGGGUGCAAGCGUUAAUCGGAAUUACUGGGCGUAAAGCGCACGCAGGCGGUUUGUUAAGUCAGAUGUGAAAUCCCCGGGCUCAACCUGGGAACUGCAUCUGAUACUGGCAAGCUUGAGUCUCGUAGAGGGGGGUAGAAUUCCAGGUGUAGCGGUGAAAUGCGUAGAGAUCUGGAGGAAUACCGGUGGCGAAGGCGGCCCCCUGGACGAAGACUGACGCUCAGGUGCGAAAGCGUGGGGAGCAAACAGGAUUAGAUACCCUGGUAGUCCACGCCGUAAACGAUGUCGACUUGGAGGUUGUGCCCUUGAGGCGUGGCUUCCGGAGCUAACGCGUUAAGUCGACCGCCUGGGAGUACGGCCGCAAGGUUAAAACUCAAAUGAAUUGACGGGGGCCCGCACAAGCGGUGGAGCAUGUGGUUUAAUUCGAUGCAACGCGAAGAACCUUACCUGGUCUUGACAUCCACGGAAGUUUUCAGAGAUGAGAAUGUGCCUUCGGGAACCGUGAGACAGGUGCUGCAUGGCUGUCGUCAGCUCGUGUUGUGAAAUGUUGGGUUAAGUCCCGCAACGAGCGCAACCCUUAUCCUUUGUUGCCAGCGGUCCGGCCGGGAACUCAAAGGAGACUGCCAGUGAUAAACUGGAGGAAGGUGGGGAUGACGUCAAGUCAUCAUGGCCCUUACGACCAGGGCUACUACACACGUGCUACAAUGGCGCAUACAAAGAGAAGCGACCUCGCGAGAGCAAGCGGACCUCAUAAAGUGCGUCGUAGUCCGGAUUGGAGUCUGCAACUCGACUCCAUGAAGUCGGAAUCGCUAGUAAUCGUGGAUCAGAAUGCCACGGUGAAUACGUUCCCGGGCCUUGUACACACCGCCCGUCACACCAUGGGAGUGGGUUGCAAAAGAAGUAGGUAGCUUAACCUUCGGGAGGGCGCUUACCACUUUGUGAUUCAUGACUGGGGUGAAGUCGUAACAAGGUAACCGUAGGGGAACCUGCGGUUGGAUCACCUCCUUACCUUAAAGAAGC